CUGCUUUUUGUCCCAUGUGAAAGGAGAUUAGUCUCCAGCUAUGUGAAUUUGCUGCCCGUUGGCUGUGUUCACCAUAAAACCAACCAAAACAUUCUGCAUGUUUUUAGGUGGAAUUGCUCAGAGAUUUGUAAAAUGAUUUUGAUCUUGGAUCUGAGCCUUCCAUUAAAGUGCUUGACUUACCUUGACCACUCUGGGAGGAGAAUAUCCAUCAUUUCCAGAUGUGGACAUAUGAUCCAGGAGGCAAUUGAAGAUAUGUGCUGUGCUCCUUCAAGGGAAGCUGUUCAUCUUCUAUAUGACUGCAUCUCCACCUCUUCCAAAGUUCAAAGAACCCAGGACAAUUGCUUAUUCGGACGGGCUUCCAGUCUGUGGUUUAAGAAGUUACCUAGUCUUCUCCUGCUCAUGCUCCACUAAUGAUAGUAAGUUGACUGUGAUGUUAACACUGAAAUCAUUUGCACAGACAGGCUAAAUAGAUCAUGCCCUUCCUGAGCCUUGAGUCUAUAUUUUACAAACAGCACCAUAUGGUUAAUAUUUAUGCCAACCAGUCAAGUGUUUAUUAAAGCAGAGUCUGGGGAGAUGAGGAGGAGAACUG
rnacentral:lncRNA from 1 species